UUCCAAAGUGUUGAGUUCAGUUCAGGGCAGCUUCCCUGUUCUGUUAAUUAAACUUUGGGACACUAAAACACUGGCUUAGGAGAGAUGAUUGGAUAGAAGGCAUUGCUCUAUUCAUUUACCUCCCAGCCUACAAAA